CCUACGGGAGGCAGCAGUGGGGAAUAUUGGACAAUGGGCGAAAGCCUGAUCCAGCCAUGCCGCGUGUGUGAAGAAGGCCUUCGGGUUGUAAAGCACUUUCAGUGGGGAAGAAAGCCUUGGGGCUAAUACCCUCGAGGAAGGACAUCACCCACAGAAGAAGCACCGGCUAACUCCGUGCCAGCAGCCGCGGUAAUACGGAGGGUGCGAGCGUUAAUCGGAAUUACUGGGCGUAAAGCGCGCGUAGGCGGUCUGAUAAGCCGGUUGUGAAAGCCCCGGGCUCAACCUGGGAACGGCAUCCGGAACUGUCAGGCUAGAGUGCAGGAGAGGAAGGUAGAAUUCGCGGUGUAGCGGUGAAAUGCGUAGAGAUCGGGAGGAAUACCAGUGGCGAAGGCGGCCUUCUGGACUGACACUGACGCUGAGGUGCGAAAGCGUGGGUAGCAAACAGGAUUAGAUACCCGGGUCGUC
rnacentral:rRNA from 1 species